UUUAACUGAGCGUUCAGUUACUUGACGUAGACCCGAAACCGGGCGACCUACCCAUGAGCAGGAUGAAGCGAAAGUAAAAUUUCGUGGAGGUCCGAACCCACGAGCGUUGAAAAGCUCGGGGAUGACUUGUGGGUAGCGGUGAAAUUCCAAUCGAGCCCGGAGAUAGCUGGUUCUCCCCGAAAUAGCUUUAGGGCUAGCCUCAAGGUGAGAGAUACGGAGGUAGAGCACUGAAUGUCCUAGGGGGUAUUGCACCUACCGAAGACUAUCAAACUCCGAAUGCCGUCAUCUUAUACUUGGGAGUCAGACUGUGGGUGAUAAGAUUCAUAGUCGAAAGGGCAACAGCCCAGAUC
rnacentral:rRNA from 1 species